GAACGAAAACGGCGCUUCUCACACUAUCCACGUCAUCAAAUUAAUAUCAACCGUAAGAUUCAGAUCCAGUGGACGCAAUCCGUCCUACUCCUCCCACUUGCCUCCACACAAAUAAACACAUUCUCUGCAUCUCCAGUCUCCACAUUGCCGGAGACUUCCAGACGCUUCCUCCCCCUCCCGAAAUUCCUCUCCCUCGACACCACACCCGCGUGAACACCCUCGUCGCCUCUCCCCAUGCUCUCCCAUGUCGCCUCCUUUCCAUCCCCGUCGCCCCUGCACCGCAGUGGCUCCCGCGCCCCCCUCAUCGCUGCCCCGCUCCUCCCUCAUCCGCAAGCCCUGGCGCACCUCAGUUCCAACCCCAGUUGCCUUCGUCCGCUGCUUCCACAUCCACCAUAGGAUGUCUCCCCUCCUCAGGUUCUUCGCCGACGAAGACGACGACAUCGAGUUCAUGGUCAUGAUGCGCCAGUUCGAACGCAUCACCGACGUGCGAAAGACGCUCGAUGUUAUGCCCCAACAGAAUGUGGUGUUCUGGACGAUGGUAAUCCGCUUUCUAUGGUUGUAUUUCAGAAAGGAAGAACAAUAUAUGAGAGACAGAGAGAGAGAUCAGUAUGAGUUGGAAAAGGGGAGGCUUAGAAAAUGAAGUGUCUAUGGGAUGAAGAUGGCUCACGCUUUAACAACUUCCAAAAUCUUCACCAUCGUUAUGCUUUCUGUAUACUUCAGAAAAACGAAUUUAAGAGGAAAGCUAAUGUACUGCCAACAACUGAAUUUGGAUGCCUGCUUAUCAGGUUUCAUUUGGACAUGCUGUUAGCUGUGUGAAUCCUGAAGUGUUGAUCCAAGUUUCUAUAUCAAUGCCAGGCUGAUUUCUUCCCAGGACGAAAAAGCAAAAGAAACUGCUACAAGAAAGAUGCAGUAUGAUUUUGGCAUGACAGGAAUCAUAAGAUUCCAUUUGAUGGAUACUCAGAUACAGGGGCUACCUGGUUCAUUUUUUUGAUGAUGUGCAACUUCAAACUGGUAUGCCCCUCUCCUAGAUCCAUCUAAAUCGCCGAUGGCGACCACCAGCAGCAGUCCCACCCCCACCCCGCUCCUCGCCUCGAUGUCUUUCCCCUCCUCGACGUGCUCUACCUCCCAUGGUCGGUACUGCUGAUUGUGCUCUCUCUGACCUCGCUCUCCUAGGGGAGGAGCCGGGAGCGAGAGGGGGAUCUCCACUCAUCAUCAUGACACUCGCUCCAAACACUCAGUGCCGGAUUCUCCGUGCUCCUGCACCACCCUGCCCUCGGCAGCGUUCCUCCUCCGCCCGCCCAGUGGAAUGCAAAGAGAUCCACCCGAGAGUCGGUGGAUUUGUUUCUCCCUCUAUUGGUAAGUCAUUCCUGGUCGGCCUUUGAUUGGACGGAUUAGUUUUGGUUCCUUUGUCGCCAGGCGAACCGAAUCUUGCUCCUCGGACUUUCAAGCACUAUAUCCUACACGUGCUGCUCUAUUUAAGUACCUUAAGAUGACCACAAUAUUUUUAUGGAAUACUGAGCCCAUUCUCUGCUUUUAAGAAUUGGUUGUCUUCAUGUGUCAUUAGUGGUUUUGAGUCCAACCUUGAAGUAACUGUCGCUUCAAAAUAUCCAUCUAGCAUUUUGUGAAAGCACUCACUCUGUUCAACAAGCAUCAAAUUGGAAAACUGGCGCGUCAUAUUACAGCAGUAAUUUCAGUAUUUGAUACAAGGAUCUCCCUCAAAUUUGCUGAUAUAGCUAAGAAGAUAAUGCUGGUAGGUAAUAGUUUCUUUUAUUUUAAGUAUUUCUGGUGGACUUUGAAUGGUAGACCAUCCAAAUUUUCCCCUAUUUUUUUGCGGAUCCUAAUCUUUUGUAGCCAUGAUGUUAGAUAAUAGUUUCUUUUAUUUUUAUAAUUUCUGGUGAACUUUGAAUGGUGGUUCGUCCAGUUUUCCCUCUUUUAUUUUCCCUCUUAUUGUAGAUCCUAAUCUUUUGUAGCCAUGAUGGUUUAUUUUUUCUAGGGUAUGUUUUGUUAUAGGGUACUAGGUCACCAGAUGUUGCAACUUGCAACUGAUAAUUGUAUUCUUAAAUGUCAUCCCUUUCUGCCCAUUGAUUAUGUCUUAUUGUUUUCAUUCAAAGAGAGCUGCAAGUAUCUUAAUCGAUAUGUUGUCCUCUUCUCCAUGUGUUCAGUUUUCAAUAUGGAGGACACCAAUUCUACUACAUGCGCACCUUUUCUAUAUUAUGAAAGCAGAACGAAAACGGCGCUUCUCACACUAUCCACGUCAUCAAAUUAAUAUCAACCGUAAGAUUCAGAUCCAGUGGACGCAAUCCGUCCUACUCCUCCCACUUGCCUCCACACAAAUAAACACAUUCUCUGCAUCUCCAGUCUCCACAUUGCCGGAGACUUCCAGACGCUUCCUCCCCCUCCCGAAAUUCCUCUCCCUCGACACCACACCCGCGUGAACACCCUCGUCGCCUCUCCCCAUGCUCUCCCAUGUCGCCUCCUUUCCAUCCCCAUCGCCCCUGCACCGCAGUGGCUCCCGCGCCCCCCUCAUCGCUGCCCCGCUCCUCCCUCAUCCGCAAGCCCUGGCGCACCUCAGUUCCAACCCCAGUUGCCUUCGUCCGCUGCUUCCACAUCCACCAUAGGAUGUCUCCCCUCCUCAGGUUCUUCGCCGACGAAGACGACGACAUCGAGUUCAUGGUCAUGCUGCGCCAGUUCGAACGCAUCACCGACGUGCGAAAGACGCUCGAUGUUAUGCCCCAACAGAAUGUGGUGUUCUGGACGAUGGUAAUCCGCUUUCUAUGGUUGUAUUUCAGAAAGGAAGAACAAUAUAUGAGAGACAGAGAGAGAGAUCAGUAUGAGUUGGAAAAGGGGAGGCUUAGAAAAUGAAGCGUCUAUGGGAUGAAGAUGGCUCACGCUUUAACAACUUCCAAAAUCUUCACCAUCGUUAUGCUUUCUGUAUACUUCAGUAAGCAGCUCCUAAACUGCCAGUAAUAUCUCAUUGCAAGUUAAUACAUUUUUCUUUCCUGCAUUCCUCAUAGCCCCAACAUUCUUAAAUAAGCACAAAGAUCAUGUUGCACGCACCUUCAAC